GACGAACGCUGGCGGCGUGCUUAACACAUGCAAGUCGAGCGGUAAGGCCCUUUCGGGCGUACACGAGCGGCGAACGGGUGAGUAACACGUGGGUGACCUGCCCUCAGCUCUGGGAUAAGCCUGGGAAACCGGGUCUAAUACUGGAUAUGACUCCAUGACGCAUGUUGUGGGGUGGAAAGCCUUGUGCGGCUGAGGAUGGGCCCGCGGCCUAUCAGCUUGUUGGUGGGGUGAUGGCCUACCAAGGCGACGACGGGUAGCCGGCCUGAGAGGGCGACCGGCCACACUGGGACUGAGACACGGCCCAGACUCCUACGGGAGGCAGCAGUGGGAAUCUUGCGCAAUGGGCGAAAGCCUGACGCAGCGACGCCGC
rnacentral:rRNA from 1 species